rnacentral:lncRNA from 1 species
UUGGUUAUGUAAUGGGAAGGUGUUAGGCACCCAAAACAUCCUAGGUACUCCUAGGGAGCCCUUUUCACACUUGUUAUAAAGGUUGUUGUUUUUUUUUUUGAAAAUUUUGUUUGGGCAAACAUGAUUGAAGAGAUGAGAAGAGAAUAUACAAGUUUAUUUACAUUUUUGUGUUUGGAUGGAUAAACCCAUUGCCUACGUACCAUCUUAAAAAAAGAUUAGGAUCAAAACCUC